AGGGUCAUUUUUGCGUCAUAUCCGGUCAAUCCAAUCCAUUUUUAAAAGGCGCGGAGUUCCAGAGUUCCAGAUCGGAGUCGUAGAGAUAGAUCAAGAUUUAUGAAUGUUUGAAUUGUUUGCGUGACCGUCGGACGUCGGGUUUGUGAGCAGUAUCGAGUUGAAGUUCAAGAUUCUCUAUUCAUGUUGGCAGAUGCACAGUGUACAGAGACAACCUGAUCCUCAUUGAUGUCCAAUUCCCCCCCCCCCCCCCCCAUUUUUAUGAGCAGUGAAGCAGUCGACUCUAUGAUUCCUUAUUCCUGUGGAUACACAGACUGAGACAGCCUGACUGAGGUCCAAUUUAUUCUUAUAAUCAGUGAAGCAGUCGACUCUACGGUAAGAACAUACACACGUACAUAUUAUACACAGUCGAACCUGAAUAUUUUGCCAGCCCCACUUACCGCCGGGUUUUGCCAAUUUAUGACAAGACUAUCCUUAUUAUAAACAU